rnacentral:rRNA from 1 species
GACGAACGCUGGCGGCGUGCUUAACACAUGCAAGUCGAACGGAAAGGCCCUGCUUGCAGGGUACUCGAGUGGCGAACGGGUGAGUAACACGUGGGUGAUCUGCCCUGCACUUCGGGAUAAGCCUGGGAAACUGGGUCUAAUACCGGAUAGGAGCCAUUUUUAGUGUGAUGGUUGGAAAGUUUUUUCGGUGUAGGAUGAGCUCGCGGCCUAUCAGCUUGUUGGUGGGGUAAUGGCCUACCAAGGCGGCGACGGGUAGCCGGCCUGAGAGGGUGGACGGCCACAUUGGGACUGAGAUUCGGCCCAGACUCCUACGGGAGGCCGCAGUGGGGAAUAUUGCACAAUGGGCGCGAGCCUGAUGCAGCGACGCCGCGUGGGGGAUGACGGCCUUCGGGUUGUAAACUCCUUUCGCUAGGGACGAAGCUUUUUGUGACGGUACCUAGAUAAGAAGCACCGGCUAACUACGUG